AAACCGCCCAUAAGUUUUGCAACUGUAGCAGUUUUGAUCCCCAAGGCCAAUUUUUGGUAAAAAAAAACAUAAAAAAUAACACGUGACACCUUACUUAGGGUGCCACGUCAGCGUAGACCGAGUCAAAAUUGACAUUGGGGUCAAAACUGCCACAAAUGCAAAACUUAGGAGGCGGUUU
rnacentral:pre_miRNA from 1 species